ACAGCAGUGUGGAUCUUCACAUGUAUGAUGCUCAGUGGGACACCUGGCAGUUUCCUGAGUAUUCGCUAGGUUCUAUGUCACUGAUUACCUCAUGGAAAUAGUAGAAAGAACCUGCCUUGGUUUUGGCCAAGCGGGGUCUUAGUUUCCUUGUCUGUGAAGUGGAAAUAAGAAUGCUUAGCCUUCUGGGUUACUGCGAGGUGUCCAUCAAGAGUUAGGUGUUGCAGAGUCUGAGGCAAGGCAGGUGCCCAGCAGGCAAGCCUUCUCUUCUCCCAGUCUGCCAGAGCUGACUUAGUGUAUGUGGCCCGUUUCAGCAAGAGCCCUGGCAGGUGCUGCGGGGCUGCAAUGACAGCUAAAAAUCCCCUCCAGAGAGAGCCAUGAUGAUAUCAAUUCUGCUGCCAGAGGCCAAGAUGACUGCUCAAGGCCCGUACCUCAAGAACGACCAAGUGAAGAUGGGCACCUGGUCUCUAAGACACCCCCCCCCCAAGGAGCACCAUUCUACAUCCAUCAUGGUGUUGGAGGAGGUCACUGAGAGGACAUGACCACUGGCUAACCCACGAGUUAGACUAGGCGAUGGAAGGUCCUAGUCCCUCCUUCCCUGUCCUUGAAAUGUACACUCUGCCCAUGUCCCCACAGUGGGAGCCACUUUCAAGGACACAGUCUUGAGAGAGCAAUGUGUUGUUGAGACUAUCUGGAUGGUAGACAACAACGAAACCCUGUCAAGGACACUAGAUAAACUUGUAAGAGUCUCAUAGAGAUCUAUGUAUCUACAGUACCCAAGACAAGCCUCAUACACAGGUUCCCUUAUUAAACCUACCACCUAACCUG